GGCCUCCGAGUCCCAGGCCCACGCUCUUUCCACUAGGCCAUGCUGCUUCUUUCUCGAAGGGGCCUUCCUGUGUCAUCACUGUCUGUGCCACUCCCUCCCUUCCCGCCGGGGCCGCCUGGAGCCUAGGCAUCCAGACUAGAACGGCUUCCGGAGGAUUCCCGGAGCUGCACUAAAUUCAUUUCCCACUACUUGAUCUCUCUCCUCAUCGAAAGCUACUGAGAUUGAUUUCCUUCUGCCACUCUACUUCCAUGAUGAUCAAAAUGUCAGCUCUGCCUGCUCCGCAGGACCCUGCCGUUCCCCAAGAGGCAAGUCUAGGAGACAAGGCAGUGGCGGCUGAGCCUCGGAAAGCCAAGACUCAGGAAGAAAAGUGUGUUUCUGGCAGUAGCAUCCAGGAGAGGCCACGUGGACAGUGUGCUGGUCGAGUGGAGGGGGGCCGGAAUCAGGAACGGGGAUAAAAGCCACUCCCGUACGCUCCUGGACUCUUCCGUCACCGCCGAGAAAAGCUUCAUGGUAACCGCCGCCUUCUCUCCUGACACCAAGGGUCCCCGCAUUCAGCACCCACCAUGCACAUCAGGCCAGGGAUAAAAGCUGCUCCUGCGCGCUCUUGGACUCCUUCAUCCCCACCGAGACUUCGAACCUAUUUUGUGCAUUAGUUUGUGUUGUGCUCUGAUGCUUCAUCACUUCUGACGUGUUUGUCUCCAAUCCUUUCUCCCCACUUAGAUUCUGAGAUUGCGAAUUCACGAGGGACAGAACCGUGUUUAAUUCCCACCUGUACAUUCUCUCCCAGCACUUAGUACAGUGCUCUAUAUACUGUAAGCACUUAA